rnacentral:rRNA from 1 species
GGGAUUGCCCUAGUAACGGCGAGUGAAGCGGCAACAGCUCAAAUUUGAAAUCUGGCCUUCUGGUCCGAAUUGUAAUUUGUAGAGGAUGCUUUUGGUUAGGUACCUUUCGAGUUCCUUGGAACAGGACGCCUUAGAGGGUGAGAGCCCCGUACGAUUGGAUACCGAGCCUCUGUAAAGCUCCUUCGACGAGUCGAGUAGUUUGGGAAUGCUGCUCUAAAUGGGAGGUAAAUUUCUUCUAAAGCUAAAUACCGGCCAGAGACCGAUAGCGCACAAGUAGAGUGAUCGAAAGAUGAAAAGCACUUUGAAAAGAGGGUUAAAUAGUACGUGAAAUUGUUGAAAGGGAAGGGCUUAUGACCAGACCUUUGCCUUGCGGAUCAUCCGGUGUUCUCACCGGUGCACUCCGCUUGGUUGAGGCCAGCAUCAGUUUUGGCGGCCGGAUAAAGACUUCAGGAAUGUGACUCCCCCGGGAGUGUUAUAGCCUGCUGUGUAAUACGGCCGCUGGGACUGAGGACCGCGCUUCGGCUAGGAUGCUGGCAUAAUGGUCAUCAGCCACCCGUCUUGAAACACGGACCAAGGAGUCGAACAUUUAUGCGAGUUUUUGGGUGUUAAACCCUCAAGCGUAAUGAAAGUGAACGGAGGUGAGAGCCCUUACGGGUGCAUCAUCGACCGAUCCUGAUGUCUUCGGAUGGAUUUGAGUAAGAGCAUAACUGUUCGGACCCGAAAGAUGGUGAACUAUGCGUGGAUAGGGUGAAGCCAGAGGAAACUCUGGUGGAGGCUCGCAGCGGUUCUGACGUGCAAAUCGAUCGUCAAAUCUGCGCAUGGGGGCGAAAGACUAAUCGAACCAUCUAGUAGCUGGUUAC